rnacentral:rRNA from 1 species
ACCUCUGCAAUAGGCGAAAGCUUGACAGGGUUACUCUGAGUGAUCCCCGCUAAGGGGGUCUUUUGACACCUCUAAAAAUGGUGUAGAAUAAGGGGUGGGCAAGUCUGGUGUCAGCCGCCGCGGUAAUACCAGCACCCCGAGUGGUCGGGACGAUUAUUGGGCCUAAAGCAUCCGUAGCCGGUCCUGCAAGUCUUCCGUUAAAUCCACCUGCUCAACAGUUGGGCUGCGGGGGAUACUACAGGGCUAGGAGGCGGGAGAGGCAAGCGGUACUCAGUGGGUAGGGGUAAAAUCCGCUGAUCCAUUGAAGACCACCAGUGGCGAAGGCGGCUUGCCAGAACGCGCUCGACGGUGAGGGAUGAAAGCUGGGGGAGCAAACCGGAUUAGAUACCCGGGUAGUCCCAGCUGUAAACGAUGCAGACUCGGUGAUGGGCUGGCUUUGAGCCAGCCCAGUGCCGCAGGGAAGCCGUUAAGUCUGCCGCCUGGGGAGUACGGUCGCAAGACUGAAACUUAA